GGGGACAUAACUCAUACUUCAGAACCCGCCAAAUUGAACGAUGCCAGGAAAAACUGGAAAGAAAAGACCAAAAUCGGCCACUGAUGAGGCCCAUGUAGUUAAAAGUGAGGCAUCCCCUGGCAAAAGACCUAAAACUUCAGUAUCAGCUGUGAAAUUUCGUAUGACAAUUGAGCACUGCAAAUCCUGACAAGUGUUCAAGCGCAAGGCCUUAGCCCUGGUUGAGGACUUGCGCCAGAAGUAUGGGGAGUUCGAAGUUGAACUUAAUCCUUCAGCUCCCAGACGUGGCAGCUUUGAACUUGUCGUUUCCAGGGAUGGGAAAGAUGAUAUUGUAGUUUGGACUGGAUUAAAGAAGGGCCCACCAAGGAAGCUAAAGUUCCCAGAAGCUGAAACUGUUGUAGCUGAGAUUGAAAAACAUCUGUAGACAAUUUACUAGAACCAGUACAAUGUAUAUAGGAUGUGCUGAGAGUUGAGGAACAUUGUCUGCUGUAUUCAAUUGUAUGAUAUUUUUGGUCAAGCUGAGGAUACCUCAAGACUGAAGAUUGAUGUAGGUCAUUGAACUGUGGAUGAUACCUUGUCUUUCUGAACAUCCUGUGUAAAUGUUAGUGUACAUGAUAUAUGUUAAACAGUUAGCCUGUACUGUGUCUCCAUUAUUCAUUGUAAUCAUUAUUAGGUUUCAUUUAGAUUGUGUUAAUUUCACAUUGUAAUUAUCAGGUCAUAAAUCAGACUUUGUUGAUAUAUUCAUUGCUCAUAGUUAUCAUUAGAUUUCGUUUAGAUUGUAUUGAUUUUCAAAAUUUGUAUCCAUUUCUUCAGAAUGUGUUUAUAUAUUCAUUACCCAUUGUAUUCAUUAUUAAACUUUAGUUAGUUUGUUUUCACAUUGUAUUCACUAUCGGUUUUUGUAUACUCUGUUCAUAUAUCCAUUAUACAUUGGUUGUGAUUAUUAGAUUUCAGAUAAAUUGUGUACUUUAUAUUGUAUUCAUUAUGUGUUACUUUAAACUGUGUUCAUAUUAUUCAUCACUAAUUGUUUCUUUUAUCCAAACUUAAUAGUUGAAUUAUGUUCACUACACAUUGUAUUCAUAAAUUCAUUACUAUAUUUGACACUCCUUGAUUGCUCUUUGUGUCUGUCUGCAAUUUCAUAUCCAGCCCAUAGCUAGGUGAUUUAUAAAAGGAUUUUAAUAUUACUUGGCACAAAUGUUCCCCAUAGUGAGCUGGCUUGUCAUAAUUAUGCAGUACUCAUACCCCUAGCUCCAAGGUCAAGGUCACACUCAGGUCAAAAGUUAAUAGGUCCCCCCCCCCCCCCCCCCCCCCAUUUAUUAUGGUUUCACAACUCAUUUGCACAUAGUGUUCAUUUUAGUCAUUUGAAGUAGUGUUCAUCUAUUUGUAAUGCAUAUAUUAGAUAGGUACUGAUCAUAACUGAGCCACACUAUGAGAAAACCAACGUAAUGCAUUUGUGACCAGCAUGGAUCCUGACCAGACUGCGCGGAUGCGUAGGCUGGUCUGGAUCCAUGCUGUUUGCUUUCAAAGCCUAUUGCAAUUAGAGAAACCGUUAGCGAACAGCAUGGAUCCUGAUGAGACUGCGCUGAUGCGCAGGCUGGUCUAGAUCCAUGUUGGUCGCAAAUGCACUAUGUUGGUUUUCUUAUGGUGUGGCUCAUAAUUAUAUUCUUUACAUAUUUUAUGGGUUGAAAAGUGUUUAUAUAUUCAAAAAGUACAAGAUAUGUUAUGUUAUGUUCACAUUCAUUAUAUUUAGUACUUAUUGGAUAGGCUAAAUGAAACCUGUAUAUUCAUGACAUACUAAUGAUACUUAAUAGGUUUGAAAAAUGCUGUUAUGAUCAAUACAUAUUGGAAAGAUUAAAUAAGUUUCCAACUUUUAACAACAAAUAUUGGAUUGGUUAAAUGUUUUUCAUAUAUUCAGUAGAAAUUGAGUGAAUUCAAUUAAAACAUGUCCAUAUAUUCAGUUUAACAGUUUUCAUAAUUAUUCAGUAUGUAUUUCUAAGGUUAAAUGAUGUUUGUAUAUUCAAAACAUAUUGGACAGUUUAAAUCAUACUCUUAUAUUCAAUUCAUUUUGACUAGAUUAAAUGGUGUUCUUUUGAAUCAAAAUUUGCAAACUUGAUGAAAAGGUGUUCUUAUGAGAAGUAUAUAUUGGAUAGGUAAAAUGAUGUUUUGAAUAGAUUAAAUGUUGUUUGUAAAUUCAAAACAUUGGAUUAAUAAAUUUAGUGUUCAUUGUAUUUGUGCAGUGUAAAAUGGUGUCCAUAUUUUCAUCAUGUAAUGGAUAUAUUAAAGACUCAAUGACUUUGUGUAUAAUGUGGCCGCCAUCUUUUAUGCUGUGAACAUAAAAUAUUAUAACUUCUUUUUAAAUCCUACUUUUGACAAUUAUUUUUGGAAAUAUUUGUCAAAAUGAAAGAGUUAACUUAGUAGAAAAGUAUUAUUGAAUCCAUUGUUUUUGAUUGCCACCUUUUAAGGUUCUAACUGUACAAGGUCAUGUGCAAAAGAAGUGUUUUUUACCAUAUUAUUAUGCAAAACAUUAUUUAGAAAGCUGUUUCAUCAAUUUUUAACAUAGAAUUUAAAGCCUUACGGAACUUUACAUAAAGCAGUUUUCACAUGAGCACAAUGGAUACUGUUUGGUAAAAUAGUGUUUAAAUACUUCAUACUAAAUUGGUAUGUGAAGUUGUCCUGUUUUUAGUGCAUUUGGGAUUCUAGUGCAUUUUGGAUAGUGUAAGUAGUAUUCAGAUAUCCAGUAUAUAUUAUACAGUUAAAUGAUGCUUGCACGUACAUUCAAUAUAUUUUGGAAAGUUAAUGCACCAUGGUGUUCAUAUUACAGACUGUGGAUUUGUGAAUAGGUUUGAUAAGUGUUCAUAUAAUUAUUAGGUAUUGGAUAAGUUAAAUGGUGUUCAUAUAUCCAACUCUUACUUGAUAAGUUAAAUUUAAAAGCGCUCACAUAAUCAGUACAGUGGAUAUGUAUACUGUUUCGUAAAAUAGCAUUCAUAUAGCAUGUAUAGUCAUGACUGAUUGAUUAUAUAUUCAGUACAUUGACAGCUUAAAUAGCGUUGAACUAAAUAUAUUCAGUGCAGUUUGGGUAUGUAAAUUAGUUUUCACAUAAUAAGAACAUACUGGAUAGGUAAUAUAGUGUGUAUGUUGGAUAGAUUCAACAGUGUUCAUAUGUUGAGUGCAUAUCUAAUAGGUUAGAUAAUGUUCUUAAAUAUUAGAUAGAUUAAACAGUGUUUGCAUAUUUAGUACAUACUGGAUAGGUUAAAUAGUGUCUGCAUAUUCAGUACAUACUGGAUAGGUUAAAUAGUGUCUGCAUAUUUAGUGUAUACUGGGUAGGUUAAAUAGUGUCUGCAUAUUCAGUACCUACUGGAUAGGUUAAAUAGUGUCUGCAUAUUUAGUGUAUACUGGGUAGGUUAAAUAGUGUCUGCAUAUUCAGAACAUACUGGAUAGGUUAAAUAGCGUCUGCAUUAGUUCACAUUGGAUAGGUUUAAUGGUUUCCGUGAAUUAAAUGCAUAAAAGAUUCAUAUAUAUUUGACAGAUGAUACUGUGUCCAUAUAUUUAUUAAACAUCACAUUCAUCGUGAAAGUAUGUUUUCAACAAUUUCUGUAUGUAUUUACUGCACAUUGUAUUCAAUACUAUUAUAAGUAGAUUAUUAAACAAAGUGAGCUCAUUG